AGCGUUGGGGUGCGCUGGAAGGAAGGAGAGGCUAGUAAGGAAGGGUCAGCGGCGGCGGCGGCGGCGGCGGGAGGGGCAGGCGCCGGCGGCGACCAGCCCCCUGUCGUACCGGGAGAGGCGGCCGCUGCACGGCUGGUACAUGCGCCAGGAGCGGUUGAGCGAGUCGCGGCUGCUCCGCUGCGCCGUGGGGCGCCUCAGCCGGGAGCGCGUCACGCUCGGGGCGGGGCCGAAGACGAGGACGGAGGACCUCUAGUAGAGGCGGUCCCCGAGCAGGACGGCGCUCCUGCACGCGGACGAGCGGUGCCAAAUAAAGUUCUUGUCGUAGUUGGCGAUGACCGCCUGAGCGGCCCUAAGGAUACCUUAAUCGUUACUCCUCUUCCUGGUGGAAGCAUUUUUAGAGAACGAUUUGUAUUCUCUCCUCUUAUUGGUCUAACGUGAAGUCGAUCGACAUGAUUAGAGCUUCUAACGUGCAAACCUAAUGGGUUCUCUUACCGCCCUGUAAAAGAGAUAUAACCGUGUUGUUGACGUUAGACGACUACAAGAACGAAGUGUAGCACACAAAUACCAGAAUAAAGCUUGAAAUUUCCUCGAAAGUUGAUUUGCCGAACGACAACUAGUCUCCUUAAUACGGCUCUAAUGAUCGGUGAACAAGCUCAUAUGGACCUUGGAAACCUUCUCGCUGCAAGUCUGAUAUAACGUUUUAGAAAGAUACGAGAGAGUCUCCUUACUGAAUCUAAGGUAAAACCUCGUUAGUUUGCUAGAUUAGAACUAUACGCUGGCAACCAACGAAACAAAUUUCUAGUAGGCCGUUGAUUAAAAAAGUCCAAUACGUUCACUAAGUUGUUGUCGCGUCCUUCAGACCGUCCAGUCCCUUCAUACAGGUUGUCAAAACUCACGGUAAGUUAGGGAAGAAGGAAUAAUGAGCAGGAAAUUUCUAUUCGUUCGAUUUGAUACCCUUAAACGUUUUUCCCGUACGUGAUUCAACUACUUUCAGGAACAGUGGAAUGUUCCGUCUGUAGGUAUAAGAAAGCAUGUGGUUUGACACGAAGGACGAUGUCAACUGAAGACAAACUUAUAUUAGUGUUUAGGGCUUGUCCGACCGCGUAGGAAACUCCUCAAAGAAUAUGUUACGUACCAAAACCAAUUUUGGCAUAGUCUUACGUUUCUCAUGUUUGGUUCACGGUGUCCAGCGCAGUAGUUACUUUCACGUGUUGGAAAUUCGGACCUCGUUUUCUUUUUUUUGAAACGUCGUCACCGAUCACUGUACGACUUCCAACAAAACGGACCACUAGCUCAACACAACGAAACGUUGUAAAAUUAUUCCUCUAUGAAAUAAAUAUGUCGUUUUCUAGACCUCCUUACCAGUCUCUUAGGACUUAGGAAAGUAGUACUCGUCUUAAACCAGGUCACCUGACUCUUUGUUGCCGGUACACGACUUCGGGAGAAGUAACAGUAGAAACUCUUGAUGGCUCUCGAUGAUCGAGGUCAACAACAAAGUUAAGAAGCUCUUCGGUACAGACAAAGAGGUGGUGAACUUUGUCUACAAUGUAGGCCUUACGAAGAUUUCCUACGACGAAUAUGUCGACGGCCCGUACACAUAAUACUUGAAAGUUUAAUGGAGUCAAAAUUACUUACCAAGGUACCUAGAGAUAGGUAUCUUUAAAGUUUACCAGUAGGGUUAUACGCAUAGUAAGCAGCUUUUCAACGUAACGAUGAACCCGUUACCUAAAGACUCUAGUUCCCACUGUGUGCCUUUAACCAGAUGGCACGAAACCAACGUAACGACGUCCUAUUACUGUAUCGACAGUCCGAUCGUCGUACGAGAAGAGACACAAUAGAAAAGGUUCUUAGAUCGAAAAGUCUUGAACUAAACAAACUUACAGAAGGUUGUACAACCUGUUACACAAAGUUCAACUGUCUUCUACAGGUUCUUAAACUAAGAUUCCACGUUCACAACUUAAAGUAGAGUCAAGAAGAACUUGUACAGCCUCUGUUCCAAUAAGGUAAACGUUCAGUCAAUAGUGUUAAAAAGGUCUUCUAGACCCUACUUAGACGUCCACUUUCGAACAAUGUCUAAGUUGACGAUUGUCGUGAAGCUUGAAAACAAAGAAGAGAACCUAUGGUCAGUGGAGAAAGAAUAGUGUACGAAUACGGUUAUGACGUUUCACCACAUUUACAACUAUCGGGACUACGAGAAUUAGAAGAGCUCCUGUCACAAAACAACACCCUUCGUUGGGAAAGCUUACGGGGUAGAUAACAUGGAGUCGACUACCUAAAUAAGCGAAUAGAACACCCGUAACACUUAUCUUCGAAGCUGGUAGACCUCCAGCGUCAGUUGUAUCAACUCCUAAUGUGUUAGAAACCACCUAGUCUUAAAAAUUUUUCGGUACCAUGUUCAAACCGCUUACAAGAACUAUGAUAACAACCUUUACAUUUACUGUUCCCUGAAGAGUGGUGUGAAGGUCAGUAACUAGAAGAAUAAGUCGAGAAAGGAGUCCUUCGAGGUGGAAACUAUAGGUCACGAGAAGUCUUUGAGUAGAAGUAUAGAAACUCAGCUCUACUACUCGUAUUGGGAAGAUCCUGUUGACAUGCACGUAGGAGACCUCGUUAAGAACGAUCCGAAAACCACUACUUAUGUUUGAAAAGCCGUGUCGAUAAUAGUCUCGGACGGGAAAACCGUUUGUAAGUCGUCAGUCCCUAUAGAGAUUUCCUAUUAGACGAUGAGAGAAACCAACUAUACACCUAACUAUUCCACCUGUUACGUUGACGAUAUGUCGUCUUCCUUAUACGUUACCGAGAGAGACAUCAAAACUGGAACGUCUAUGGAGUUCAGUAGCUGUUUGAACUACUAUAUAAUUCACAAACGUGCUGACAAUAAUAACCCCCGGCACUUCAUUUCUGGCUCCUACUAAGAUCACCGCUAUAAUGUUCGAGAAGAACCGAACCGUUACUAUUAAGUCCAAUGAGGUCGUUUAAGAACUUUUUUGCUGUUCGUUUCCUAAAUCUAGGCUAGUUUGUUCGAAGCGAUCUCUUGUAUGAUUCUCUCUUGAACUUCCGUACACGUCGAGUGGUACCCCUAAGCUGAAAGUUACGACGGUAGUCGUCCUAGGUAGGCAGUAGUAAACGAGUCAACGUCGUCCGAGACUUAUCACGUACUCUACGCGUAUGAGGGAUUGACUAAGAAACUACAAGAAAACUUAUGUAACUUCUUGUAGGCCGCGUAGUGCUCGGUGGUAAAGAACCUCGCGUACCACUAGGGGUACGUGGUACACGACGGUAAACUAUGCGACGAAAAAAGACAGGACACUACAUGACAGCUUCUACUGCCGUCAAGUAGCACAUCCACAUCUCACGGCUGAUUCCACACUUAUCGCUCUCCACACUCGCUCGUCGAAAAAGUAGGGGGGGGACCCAAUAACCAACUACCAGUAUAAGAAGAUGCACAAUCCAGAAAGCGCACCCAAACUGGUGAGAUUUCUCCGCCAACCUCAAAGGUACCUGUAAUAACGCCCGAUAAAAAGACGUUUAGAAAAACAAUAGAUUACCCCCAGCUAACCCCAUCAGAAGUCUAACCGUCUCCAAAAUGAAGGGUCCGCCGACUGAAAUGUACUCUUCUCCAACAGUCUCAACCAUUUACAUUAACAAACACGCUCUUG
rnacentral:rRNA from 1 species